UUUAUCAAGACGACGGCGACGACGAAUUGCCAAAAAAAGACGCCAGCCAGUAAGCCCGUACGUUGAAUCUAGGUUACUGUGCGGGGAAUUCGUGGUGAAGUUUGGUAUAUUAAGAGAAAAUGAAAGGUUUUUUUUCAAAUAUUUUAAAGUUUCAUUACAAGUCUAUGAUGAAUUAUAUUCAAAACUGGAGCCCUAUUUGAAGACUAACAAUCUACGAUUGAAAUCUACGUCAAUCGUAUCACCAAUGGAACGAUUUGCAAUGACAUUGCGUUGGUAAUAAUGACUUAAAAAAAUUCAAGUCUUCGUCCAUAUUAUCUGCAGUGUUAUUCUUCACGCAAUUUAACAACUCUAAUUCGAAAUCAGUUGGCGAUUCGCACUUACGUUUCUUGGAAGAUCGUGUUUCUUUGGUAACGCUGGAGCUGGUUCUAGAUAUUUAGUUAGUGGACAUACCUUCGUCGAUAUUCAUCUGGCGUAUCAUACAGGACUAACCACGGUCAGAAAAAUAGUAACAGAAGUUUGUCAAAUUAUAAUUGAAAGGUUAAAGGAAGAAUGUAUACCAAAAUUUUCCCGUGCGCUAUGGGAAGAGACUGAAAAAGGUUUUUUAACGCAAGCCCAGUUUCCUAACUGCAUAGGUGCAAUAGACGGAAAACAUAUACGCAUUAUAAGACCUCCACAUAGUGGUUCCCUCUAUUACAACUAUAAGCAUUACUAUUCUAUUGUACUGCUUGCAAUGUGUAACGCCAACUAUGAGUUUACCUAUAUAAACGUGGGAGUGCAGGGUAAAGAAUCUGACUCCGCAAUUUUCACACAAAGCCGAUUGUACGAACAAAUCAACAAUGACUUAAUAGAUAUUCCUCCUGCCAAAGCAUUGCCCGUAAUACACAAUGAUAAACCAACCAACAUUGCUGCAACCGCAGCUUUGCCCUAUAUUAUUGUAGGAGAUGAAGCAUUUGGGUUAUCUAGCCAUGUCAUGCGGCCAUAUGCUCGAGCUCUCGAUUUAAACUACAAAAAAAAAAUAUUCAAUUAUAGGUUAACGAGAGCGCGACGUUAUAUUGAGUGUACAUUUGGUAUCAUGGCUAAUAAAUUUCGCAUACUCCAUCGUCCAUUGAACGUUGGAAAAGACAAAGCAAUUUGUUUUCUUAAAACAAUUUGUAUUUUGCAUAAUUUUAUAAGAUCAAGAAGUCAAAUUAAUGACUUUCAUGAUAUUGUCAUUAUACCAGACCAUAUACGUUCAGUUCGGGGGUUAAUUGGAAAUACCCACAGAGAUUCGUAUACAUUACGCGAUAACUUCGCAGAUUAUUUCGUUGCAGACGGACAGCUGUCAUGGCAAGAUCGCAGUAUUUAUUGAAGAUAGUUGGCUUUUUUAUAAUUUAUGUACAUUCAAUAAUUGAAUUUUCACGGUUUUUUACCACACAUUUUUUAUUAACAUAGCAGGCAUAUUUUAAUAAUAUACCUAAUGAUUUUAUUUGUUAAAUUCAUCGGAUGUAACCAAAUAACUUAGAUUGUUGUAAACUAAAGUUGAGAGAUGUCAAAGAAAAACCUACAAAACUACAAAACGCACGCUUAUUUUACAAAGUUACUGGCCCAAUUCUAAAACCAAUAUAAUAAAUAUUUUAGUUGAUAAUUGUUUUAUUUAUUUACCUACCGAUCCACUGUUUCUGCCCUAAAAUGAUUUUGAACCCUAAAUACACCGAUAGUGUAAAGUAGUGUGAAGCUCGCAGUCGUGAACAUACUGGUUGUCUCGUGACGCGCAAAAUGGCGGCGACCGCGUGGCCGAAAGCAAGAACUUUGGAAUCUAUCGAGCAAUAUAAAACCAUACCAAUAUUAUGGGACAUUGUUCACACGAAUUUCACAAUGUUCAGAAAUACGCAGUAUCUCUGCACUAGUUUUGAAUAUAAGCAUGAUUUUAUAUUUACGUAGGUAAAUUAUUGUAAAUAUUCCCAGUUUUAAUUUUAUAGUUGGAUUAAUUGUUGAAAACAUUUAAUUGACACAAAUAAAAUUGAAAUAACUAAUUAUAUAUAACUAAUUGCAUAGAUUAUUAAAAAUAAAAAUUUGGCGCAAAGAAUAGUUUACCUAACCUACGUUAUUAUAAAAUAAAUAAAGAGUGUAGGUACUUACCUUGUAU